rnacentral:rRNA from 1 species
ACAGCAGCAGCCACGGUAAUACGGAGGAUCCAAGCGUUAUCCGGAUUUAUUGGGUUUAAAGGGUGCGUAGGUGGCCCGUUAAGUCAGGGGUGAAAGACGGUAGCUCAACUAUCGCAGUGCCCUUGAUACUGAUGGGCUUGAAUGAACUAGAGGUAGGCGGAAUGUGACAAGUAGCGGUGAAAUGCAUAGAUAUGUCACAGAACACCAAUUGCGAAGGCAGCUUACUAUGGUUUGAUUGACACUGAGGCACGAAAGCGUGGGGAUCAAACAGGAUUAGAUACCCCGGUAGUCCCUGUCUCUUAUAC